rnacentral:rRNA from 1 species
UACGGAGGGUGCAAGCGUUAUCCGGAUUCACUGGGCGUAAAGCGCACGUAGGCGGACUCUUAAGUCGGUGGUGAAAUCCUGGAGCUCAACUCCAGAACUGCCUUUGAUACUGAGGAUCUUGAGUUCGGGAGAGGUGAGUGGAACUGCGAGUGUAGAGGUGAAAUUCGUAGAUAUUCGCAAGAACACCAGUGGCGAAGGCGGCUCACUGGCCCGAUACUGACGCUGAGGCACGAAAGCGUGGGGAGCAAACAGGG